AUAUAUUUUUAAUGAUGAGAUAUACAGACCUGAGUUGAAAAUAAAAUUUGAGAAUGCAUAACGCUCCUGAACAAAUAUAUUCUGCACACAAAUUAUAAUUUCCAAGAGAGU
rnacentral:snoRNA from 1 species